rnacentral:snRNA from 1 species
AUCGCUUCUUGACCUUUUGGCUAAGAUCAAAUGUAUCUGUUCUUAUCAGUUUAAUGUCUGAUAUGUCCUCUAUCCAAGGACAAUAUAUUUAAAAAAACAACAACAUUA